GAUGAACGCUGGCGGCAUGCCUAACACAUGCAAGUCGGACGGGCAGUGGUGUUUCUUGUGGCGGUCGGGUGAGCAACGCGUGAGAACCUGCCCUUGGGAGGGGAACAACAGCUGGAAACGGCAGCUAAUACCAAGUAGGCCGAGGAGCAAAAGGAGGAAUCCGCCCGAGGGGGGGCUCGCGUCUGAUUAGCUAGUUGGUGAGGCAAUAGCUUACCAAGGCGAUGGUCAGUAGCUGGUCCGAGAGGGAGAUCAGCCACACUGGGACGGAGACAAGCAGCAGGCUCCUUCGCGAGACGGCAGAAAGGAAGAUGGCGCAAUGGGGGGUAGGCUGAGAAGGCAUUGCGACGGGGAAGUAGUGGGCCUACGGGUCAAGAACUGCUUAUCCCGGAGAAGAAGCAAUGACGGUAUCUGGUGAGAAAGCCACGGCUAACUCCGUG
rnacentral:rRNA from 1 species